rnacentral:rRNA from 1 species
UACGUAGGGUGCAAGCGUUGUCCGGAAUUAUUGGGCGUAAAAGAGCUCGUAGGCGGUUUGUCGCGUCGAAUGUGAAAACCCGGGGCUCAACCCCGGGCCUGCAUUCGAUACGGGCAGACUAGAGUUCGGUAGGGGAGUCUGGAAUUCCUGGUGUAGCGGUGAAAUGCGCAGAUAUAAGGAGGAACACCGGUGGCGAAAGGCGGGGAACUC